rnacentral:rRNA from 1 species
GGGUGAGUAAAAGGUAGGAAUCUACCCCUUGGACGGAGAUAGCUACUGGAAACGGUAGGUAAACUUCGAUAAGCCCGAGAGGGGAAAGUGGUGAGACAGCCGAGGGAUGAGCCUACUCUCCAUCAGGUAGUUGGUGAGAUAAAAGCUUACCAAGCCGAUGACGGAUAACCGGUGUGAGAGCAUGAACGGUCACAAGGGCACUGAGAGACGGGCCCUACUCCUACGGGAGGCAGCAGUGGGGAAUCUUGGACAAUGGGCGAAAGCCUGAUCCAGCGGCGCCGCGUGGAGGAAGAAGUCCUUCGGGAUGUAAACUUCUGAACUAGCCGAAUAAAAGGCCUGUGGACACACAGGAGAAGAAAGUAGGCUAGGAAAAGUCCCGGCUAACUACGUGCCAGCAGCCGCGGUAAGACGUAGGGGGCAAGCGUUACCCGGAAUUACUGGGCGUAAAGGGGGCGUAGGCGGUAAAAAAAGUCAUCUGUGAAAACCUAUUGCUCAACGAUAGGCUAGCGGAUGAAACUGAAUUACUUGAGGGCACCAGAGGUAGACGGAAUUACCCGAGUAGGGGUGAAAUCCGCAGAUACGGGUAGGAACGCCGGUGGAGAAGUCGGUCUACUGGGGUGCACCAGACGCUGAGGCCCGAAAGCUAGGGGAGCAAACCGGAUUAGAUACCCGGGUAGUCCUAGCCGUAAACGAUGCUCACUAGGUGUAGGGAGUGAUAAACUCUCUGUGCUGAAGCGAACGCGCUAAGUGAGCCGCCUGGGGAGUACGUCCGCAAGGAUGAAACUCAAAGGAA